rnacentral:rRNA from 1 species
CAUAAGCGGAGGAAAAGAAACCAACAGGGAUUGCCUUAGUAGCGGCGAGUGAAGCGGCAAAAGCUCAAAUUUGAAAUCUGGCGCCUUCGGUGUCCGAGUUGUAAUUUGAAGAUUGUAACCUUGGGGUUGGCUCUUGUCUAUGUUUCUUGGAACAGGACGUCACAGAGGGUGAGAAUCCCGUGCGAUGAGAUGCCCAAUUCUAUGUAAGGUGCUUUCGAAGAGUCGAGUUGUUUGGGAAUGCAGCUCUAAGUGGGUGGUAAAUUCCAUCUAAAGCUAAAUAUUGGCGAGAGACCGAUAGCGAACAAGUACAGUGAUGGAAAGAUGAAAAGAACUUUGAAAAGAGAGUGAAAAAGUACGUGAAAUUGUUGAAAGGGAAGGGUUUGAGAUCAGACUCGAUAUUUUGUGAGCCUUGCCUUCGUGGCGGGGUGACCCGCAGCUUAUCGGGCCAGCAUCGGUUUGGGCGGUAGGAUAAUGGCGUAGGAAUGUGACUUUACUUCGGUGAAGUGUUAUAGCCUGCGUUGAUGCUGCCUGCGUAGACCGAGGCCGACGAUUUUAUACAAGGAUGUUGGAUGAUGUAGCCGCUGGACC